rnacentral:lncRNA from 1 species
AUUAGUGUCUAUAAUAUAGAUGAGCAGAGCAGCUCCCUGCUGUGCCACCGGCCUGGCCCUUUGCGUAAUCUUUAACCCCUCUCCCUUACUCCCAGCUCGCCUCUAAUUGACCGUGAAGCACCUGGGGGUAAUCUGGAGGCAGUGCCAUCUGCCCUCACAGGGCAGUGCUUCCUACAGCCCAGCCAAGGCAAUGGAGAGCAUUUAAUAGCCCUGGGAGGAAACUGGGAUGAUAAAUUAUUUUUCCUUCUCAUUUUCUUGGUGUUUAGCAUCUAAUCUUCCUUUUCUUUUUUCUUUCCUCAUAAUAGGAGACCUUCUGAGCCUGGGGCACCCCAGCACCCAAUGCACUUCAUUACAGUGGUGAAGAUGGAGCUGCCAGUCAACCUCUUUGCAGCUCAGGAGCGGCAGAGAAAGUUUCCUAACCCUAAAGGCAUCAGAGCUCUGCAGAGGCUGAAAUUCUUCAUGUAAGGCAGAAAUGCGUUCAUAGGAGCGAUCCAUUCAACUUCAUCAGCCUUGGGAAACCUUUUACAAGGAAGGAGAGAUGAAAACUCUGGCCUGGGUAGCUGAGAAAAUGCAAUGAAAUUGGGUUUUCCUAUUGCAUCUUCUCCAGUGCAGCUGAGCUGGGGGCUCCAGAGAUCCCACCUGUACCCAGAAGCAAUGCAGGCACUUCCCAUGCACUCAGCAUUGGGUGGCUGCUUGGAAGGGUUUCAGAUCCAACAUCUGCACA